rnacentral:rRNA from 1 species
UACAGAGGUCCCAAGCGUUGUUCGGAUUCACUGGGCGUAAAGGGUGCGUAGGUGGCAGGGUAAGUUUGAUGUGAAAUCUCCGAGCUUAACUCGGAAACUGCAUUGAAUACUAUCCUGCUUGAGGGUUGGAGGGGAGACUGGAAUUCUCGGUGUAGCAGUGAAAUGCGUAGAUAUCAGGAGGAACACCGGUGGCGAAGGCGGCUAUCUGGACAGAGUCUGACGCUGAGGCGCGAAAGCUAGGGGAGCAAACAGG